rnacentral:rRNA from 1 species
GACGAACGCUGGCGGCGUGCUUAACACAUGCAAGUCGAACGGAAAGGCCCUGCUUUUGUGGGGUGCUCGAGUGGCGAACGGGUGAGUAACACGUGAGUAACCUGCCCUUGACUUUGGGAUAACUUCAGGAAACUGGGGCUAAUACCGGAUAGGAGCUCCUGCUGCAUGGUGGGGGUUGGAAAGUUUCGGCGGUUGGGGAUGGACUCGCGGCUUAUCAGCUUGUUGGUGGGGUAGUGGCUUACCAAGGCUUUGACGGGUAGCCGGCCUGAGAGGGGGACCGGCCACAUUGGGACUGAGAUACGGCCCAGACGCCUACGGGAGGCAGCAGUGGAGAAUAUUGCACAAUGGGCGGAAGCCUGAUGCAGCAACGCCGCGUGCGGGAUGACGGCCUUCUGGGUGUAAACCGCUGUCGCCUGUGACGAAGCGUGAGUGACGGUAAUGGGUAAAGAAGCACCGGCUAACUACGUG